AUUGAACGCUGGCGGCAGGCCUAACACAUGCAAGUCGAACGAGUGGCGGACGGGUGAGUAAUGUCGGGGAAACUGCCUGACGGAGGGGGAUAACUACGGGAAACGGUAGCUAAUACCGCAUACCAUCAGAUGCGCCCAGAGGGGAUUAGCUUGUUGGUGGGGUAACGGCUCACCAAGGCGACGAUCCCUAGCUGGUCUGAGAGGAGGACCAGCAAGACUGGAAGUGCGCAACGGGCCAGACUCCUACGGGAGGCAGCAGUGGGGAAGAUUGAACAAUGGGCGCAAGCCUGAUGCAGCCAUGCAGCGGGGAUGAAGAAGGCCUUCGGGUUGUAAAGUACUUUCAGCGGGGAGGCGUUACCCGCUGAAGAAGCACCGGCUAACUCCGUGCCAGCAGCCGCGGUAAUAC
rnacentral:rRNA from 1 species